rnacentral:rRNA from 1 species
GAUGAACGCUGGCGGCGUGCCUAAUACAUGCAAGUCGAGCGAACAGACGAGGAGCUUGCUCCUCUGACGUUAGCGGCGGACGGGUGAGUAACACGUGGAUAACCUCCCUAUAAGACUGGGAUAACUUCGGGAAACCGGAGCUAAUACCGGAUAAUAUAUUGAACCGCAUGGUUCAAUAGUGUAAGACGGUUUUGCUGUCACUUAUAGAUUGAUCCGCGCCGCAUUAGCUAGUUGGUAAGGUAACGGCUUACCAAGGCAACGAUGCGUAGCCGACCUGAGAGGGUGAUCGGCCACACUGGAACUGAGACACGGUCCAGACUCCUACGGGAGGCAGCAGUAGGGAAUCUUCCGCAAGGGGCGAAAGCCUGACGGAGCAACGCCGCGUGAGUGAUGAAGGUCUUCGGAUCGUAAAACGCUGUUAUUAGGGAAGAACAAAUGUGUAAGUAACUAUGCACGUCUUGACGGUACCUAAUCAGAAAGCCACGGCUAACUACGUG